rnacentral:rRNA from 1 species
CGGUAUGGGAUGGGCCUGCGUCUGAUUAGCUGGUUGGUGGGGUAACGGCCUACCAAGGCAACGAUCAGUAGCCGACCUGAGAGGGUAAUCGGCCACAUUGGAACUGAGACACGGUCCAAACUCCUACGGGAGGCAGCAGUGGGGAAUAUUGCACAAUGGGCGAAAGCCUGAUGCAGCAACGCCGCGUGAGCGAAGAAGGCCUUUGGGUCGUAAAGCUCUGUCGGGAAGAAAGAUAAUGACGGUACUUCCCGAGGAAGCCCCGGCUAACUACGUGCCAGCAGCCGCGGUAAUACGUAGGGGGCGAGCGUUGUCCGGAAUUAUUGGGCGUAAAGAGUGCGUAGGUGGUUGUUUAAGCGUGGGGUGAAAGGCAAUGGCUUAACCAUUGUGAGCCUCGCGAACUGGGCGACUUGAGUGCAGGAGAGGAAAGCGGAAUUCCUAGUGUAGCGGUGAAAUGCGUAGAUAUUAGGAGGAACACCAGUGGCGAAGGCGGCUUUCUGGACUGUAACUGACACUGAGGCACGAAAGCGUGGGGAGCAAACAGGAUUAGAUACCCUGGUAGUCCACGCCGUAAACGAUGAGCACUAGGUGUCGGGGCCGCAAGGCUUCGGUGCCGCAGUUAACGCAUUAAGUGCUCCGCCUGGGGAGUACGCACGCAAGUGUGAA